UCGCUGCAAACGAAGUCGAUAGUAAUUUCUCUCAUGUUUCCCUUAUGCAAAUUUGUGGCAUGUGCAGAAUUAUUUAUGUUUCUUCUUGCAACAUGUAGAUGAUAGGGAAAGCAAUGGUGAACUUUUCCUUUUUUUUCUCAUCAAGUGUGCUUGACUGAAUUUGGAUGGUGGCUAUUUGGAAGGAAUGGUCAAGAAUAAGCAGCAACUAGAUCAUUUUUCUUCUACUUGGAUUUGAUUUCUUCUUCUCAGAUUCUACUAUUUUAGGUUUGUUGCAUUUUCACGGUUUCUUCCCGAGGAUUAUUCAUACAUGUCUUGACCUUGAUUUAGAUGAACAAGAGCCGAUUCUUUGGCAAGACUCCCAGCUGCAGACGCCUAUUUUUCAAUAAAAGAGAUCUCCCUGUUUAGAUGUAAGAUCUUUACGUUAUUCUAUUUAGCCUGCUAAGCUGCAUGUAUUAUGUGUAAACGCAUCAUGGUAUUUUAUGGUAUAGUCAGUCCAUCCUUUCUCAGUACAGUGGCCAAUUAAUGUGAAGUAGCCAUUUGCUUGCAUAUCAAUACUGGAAGUCUGGAACAUCUUUAGAAUCAUUUAUUUCGAAUUAGUUACCCAUGUUUCCAGUCCACUAUAGUGUAUGUUCACAAGUACAAUUUUAUGGUUUAUUAAUUGUUGCUUCAAAUUUCUCCUUGCAGCCUCACUAUAUCAGCAAAAUCCCCUAAUCCGAUUUCCUGCAAUGUAUUUAGCUUGAUUUUCUUUGUGUUUUGUGCAAAUUCUAGCGGCAUAUUAUUUUUGGGUUAUGUUCUGAUUAUAUGUCCACAUCCUAUGGUGUUUAACUCAAUGAUUAACUUAAGCAGAAACAUAUGGUUACAUCACGAUACCAUCCUCAUCAUUUCAAUUUUAUGUGAGAGAUUUGUGUAUUUCCACAUUAUGACAAUUAUAAUAUCAGUUCUCUAUUGAUAGCGCAAGAACUUUGUGUUCUGAUUUUUUCAUAUAUAUUGGAAGUAGCACGUGGUGCGUACAGUUAGGGUGACACAACUAGCAAAGUGCAGAUAUAGACACAGAACAAGAAGAUACCUUCAUUGACGAUAAGUUACGAUGGGUUCGUUGUUACGCCCCCUUCAAUAAUAUAUUAGAAAGGUUGAUGCAAAUCAAUGGUGUACAUUAAAGCAUAUUAUUUUAACUGAAAGUGAAAUGUAUUCUAUUGUACUUCACGAAAUUGCUAAAAGAAAUAAUAUAUACAUGUGCGGUUU